AUAUCAGACUUGUUACGAGGUUGUUCUAACAAGUCUGAUACAGUCAUGAUAUAACAAGAAUGUUACAAGGUUGACGACACAAGGUUGUAACAAUAUUGUUAUAUCAUGACUGUAUCGAACUUGUUGGAACAACCUUGCAACAAGUCUGAUAA